rnacentral:rRNA from 1 species
UAGCGUAUAUUAAAGUUGUUGCAGUUAAAAAGCUCGUAGUUGAAUUUCGGGAUUAGUACGUCGGUCGUGCCUUAGGUACGUACUGGUGUUACUGGUUCCUACCUUCUGACGAACCAUCAUGUCAUUAAUUUGGUGUGGUGGGGAAUCAGGACUGUUACUUUGAAAAAAUUAGAGUGUUUAAAGCAGGCUCGCGCUUGAAUACAUUAGCAUGGAAUAAUGAAAUAGGACGUUGAUCCUAUUUUGUUGGUUUCUAGGAUUGACGUAAUGAUUAAUAGGGAUAGUUGGGGGCAUUAGUAUUCAAUUGUCAGAGGUGAAAUUCUUGGAUUUAUUGAAGACUAACUACUGCGAAAGCAUUUGCCAAGGAUGUUUUCAUUAAUCAAGAACGAAAGUUAGGGGAUCGAAGACGAUCAGAUACCGUCGUAGUCUUAACCAUAAACUAUG